GACGAACGCUGGCGGCGUGCUUAACACAUGCAAGUCGAACGGUGAAAGAGAGCUUGCUCUCUGGAUCAGUGGCGAACGGGUGAGUAACACGUGAGCAAUCUGCCCCUGACUCUGGGAUAACAGUUGGAAACAGCUGCUAAUACCGGAUACGAGCUGCGAAGGCAUCUUCAGCAGCUGGAAAGAACUUCGGUCAGGGAUGAGCUCGCGGCCUAUCAGCUAGUUGGUGAGGUAAUGGCUCACCAAGGCGUCGACGGGUAGCCGGCCUGAGUGGGAGACCGGCCACACUGGGACUGAGACACGGCCCAGACUCCUACGGGAGGCAGCAGUGGGGAAUAUUGCACAAUGGGCGCAAGCCUGAUGCAGCAACGCCGCGUGAGGGACGACGGCCUUCGGGUUGUAAACCUCUUUUAGCAAGGAAGAAGCGAAAGUGACGGUACUUGCAGAAAAAGCGCCGGCUAACUACGUGCCAGCAGCCGCGGUAAA
rnacentral:rRNA from 1 species